GUAGUUCUUUCUCUCUCUUUCUUGGUGUUCUAAUUUAUCGUUUUGUUGAAGAAGAUGGUUGUGCAUGGGAGGUUAAUUAGGUUAGGGUCAUAUAACAAUUGGUUGAGGUAAAAAUAUAUGAUUUGUGGUUUUGAGAUUGUCAAUUACCUACGUAUCUUGCACAUUGCCAUCUUACUUUCACAUUUGUUCAUCUUAUCAAACACAUACUAUACACAUAAGAAGUGCAUGGAUGUUUCCUCAUUUUCU
rnacentral:misc_RNA from 1 species